UAAUGAUUUUAGUUCACAUCUUACACUAGAUAUGCAGAUAUGCUGAUUCGUGACACAAAACUGAAGCAGAUAAUUGAAGAAUUUGUUAAGUCACAACAAAGGAAGAGACAUUGUGAAGAGAUGAGUAUGCAAAGCUAAUGGAGGGAUACAAUAAAAUGCAGAAAGAAAAAGACAUUCUAACGAAGAAACUAAAAGCAUGGAAACCCUACAUCAAGAGCUUAUCAAAAUCUGGAACUCAAAGCAAAAGGACAAAAGGUGAUUAAAGGAUUGAAACAAUUUCUUUGCUUAGACAAAAUGGGCUUCGAGGACAACUUUUGGCUGUUUAAGCAGGAGGUAGAAUUUGUUUUCAUUCAAUUGUAGUGACUUUUGAAAGAGGAUUAAAGUGAUUUUUGUGUUGUAUAACCCGUUAGGCAUGAAAGCUGGGUUGAACUCUAAAUUUUUAUGGAUAUUAUACAACAUUUAUGAGUUUUUGUAAAGAAAACUCUUGAAACCAAAA